rnacentral:rRNA from 1 species
UACGGAGGGUGCGAGCGUUGUUCGGAAUCACUGGGCGUAAAGCGCGUGUAGGCGGCCCACUAAGUCUGAUGUGAAAGCCCGGGGCUCAACCCCGGAAGUGCAUUGGAAACUGGUGGACUCGAGUCCCGGAGAGGAGAGUGGAAUUCCUGGUGUAGCGGUGAAAUGCGUAGAUAUCAGGAGGAACACCGGUGGCGAAGGCGGCUCGCUGGACGGUGACUGACGCUGAGACGCGAAAGCGUGGGGAGCAAACAGG